GCCUGGCUGGCUGAGUUGGUAAAGCAUGUGACUACUGAUCUCAGGUUUGUGAGUUCAAGCCCCACGUUGGGUG